UGAUUUGGCGGAAAAAAAUGUUCUUAAUUAUUUUUCCCACAUGAUGUCCUUUCAGGUUCCAGGAAACAGCACGGGCAUGUAUUAGGCAUAAUAAGUAAUUAUAAAAAUAUGAG